ACGGAGGAUGCGAGCGUUAUCCGGAUUUAUUGGGUUUAAAGGGUGCGUAGGUGGACUGUUUAGUCAGUGGUGAAAUACUGAUGCUCAACGUUAGCAUUGCCGUUGAAACUGACAGUCUUGAGAGUGAUUGAGGCAGGCGGAAUGCGUGGUGUGGCGGUAAAAAGCAUAGAAAUCACACAGAACCACAAUGGCGAGGGCAUCUACCAAAGCCACAACUGACACUGAAGCACGAAAGCGUGGGGAUCAAACAG
rnacentral:rRNA from 1 species